rnacentral:rRNA from 1 species
AUGGAGAUUUUCUUAAGUUUGUGCUUAUUUAUCGUAGCCACGGUGCUAGUCCUUUGGUUUCUUAGCUCUUCCCAUGACAAGUCCAAGACCAAGAAGAGGUUGCCCCCCGGACCAUGGACCCUUCCGAUCAUCGGCAGCCUCCACCACCUCGUCGGCCACCUCCCGCACCGAGCCCUGUCGGAGCUGUCUCGCCGGCACGGCCCGCUCAUGUACCUCAAGUUCGGCGAGGUCCCCACCGUGGUGGUCUCCAGCGCCGAGGCGGCGGCGCUGGUCAUGAAGACCAACGACCCUACCUUCGCGGACCGGGGAAGCGGCGUCGCGCUGGACAUCGCCGGCUGCGGCGGGAAGGGGAUCAUGCUGGCCCCCUACAGCGACCGUUGGCGGCAGAUGCGGAAGGUCUGCGUCGUGGAGCUUCUUAGCGCCGCGCAGGUGAGGCGCAUGGCGUCCAUUAGGGCCGAGGAGAUGGCCGGCCUCGUCCGCUCCCUGGCCGCCUCGCCCGCGGGUGGCACCGUGAACCUCAGUGAGAAGUUGCCGGUGCUGGCGAACGACAUCGUCGCUAGGGCCGCGUUCGGUGGGAAGUGCGCGCAACAGGGAGAGUAUCUCCGCGAGCUCGACGAGGUCAUGACGCUGCUGGGGGGCUUCAUCCUCGCUGACCUCUUCCCGUCGUCAAAGCUCGUGCGGUGGCUGGGCACUGGCGAGCGCCGGCUGAGGAGGAGUUGUGGCCGGAUCCAGCGCAUCAUCGACAACAUCAUCGACGACCGCAGGGCGAGGCGUGCAGCCGACGGUCCCCGUAGCACCGACGACGAGGACCUGCUAGACGUGCUGCUCAGGUUGCAGGAAGAGGACUCGUUGACAUUCCCUUUAACCGCGGAAAUAAUUGGCGUGGUCAUCUUUGUGAGUAUGCCGAUUAUUCCAUUCCUUUUCUCUCAAUUUCCUAUACUCCUAUGCCAUGAGCCCAUGACACAAGGAAUAAUAGGCGUGGUUAUCUAA